rnacentral:rRNA from 1 species
UGCCAGCCGCCGCGGUAAUACAGAGAUGGCAACCGUUGUUCGGAAUCACUGGGCAUAAAGAGCACGUAGGCGGUGACGAAAGUCAGUUGUGAAAUCCCUCGGCUCAACCGAGGAACUGCAAUUGAAACUGCGUCGCUAGAGUGCGGGAGGGGAGAGCGGAAUUCCAGGUGGAGCGGUGAAAUGCUUAGAUAUCUGGAGGAACGCCGGAGGCGAAAGCGGCUCUCUGGCCCGCCACUGACGCUGAGGUGCGAAAGCUAGGGUAGCGAACAGGAUUAGAUA